GUUUAUUGUUCUAGGUGCUUCCACUUGAAUUAUCGUGACAUCAAUUCUUGUUAAUUGCAAUUACCACCGCUCACUGCCUCGACUUUGUUAAUCCAGGUGCUAUUUUGACUUUUGAUCAUGGUUUUGUGUGGAGAUGACAAAGUAAAGAAAAGAAAAAGAUAUGCAUUAUUUAUUCAAUCUCAAAGAGGGGCUAUGGAUAAAUUUGUUAAAAAAGAGGUGAUAAUGCUAGUGUUUCUCAACAAACCGAAAACGUGAAUGAUUUAAAUGAUGGUUCCAAA